GAUGAAGAACGCAGCGAAAUGGGAUAAGUAGUGUGAAUUGCAGAUUUCAGUGAAUCAUCGAAUUUUUGAACGCACAUUGCGCCUUUUGGUACUCCAAUAGGCAUGCCUGUUCGAGCGUCAUAUUCUCUCUCAAGCAGUGCGCUUGGUGUUGGGCAUUUGUCUUAUAGUAGACUUGCCUGAAAGGCAUUGGCAGUUAGCCUGCCAGCCCUUCUACGCAGCACUUGCGUCUAUGGAGGCCUAGCUAGCUAACAUACCAGCAAGAAAAGCUUUGACCUCGAAUUAGGUAGGGAUACCCGCUGAACUUAAGCAUAUCAAUAAGCGGAGGA
rnacentral:misc_RNA from 1 species